GCCUCCGCAGCUUUUUCUCUGAGCUGGACAGGCGCCGCGGCCGGAUACAUCCAUCUUCGGUGAAGUUCUCCGGUGGAGUCAUGGGGUGCUCUCUAGUCUCUACAGCACGCCCAUGUUCCUGCGGCCCUGGAGGCGACGCCGUCGACCACAACAGCGAUGGCCACGGAGGUACUCCUCCUCGGCGACGCUCGUGCUGGAGAAGAAGCAGUCGACGACGACGAGGGCCUCGUGGAGGAGCCCCAGGCGGCGGAGAAUGUCGGCGCGGCCGCGCCUGCGGCACCUUAGUUAUCGUCAACCUCAAGCCUGAUGGAGAUGGUUAGAGCAGCAUAGUCUUUGUUCUGAGUUCUGACCUGGUUGAUUUUUUUUUCUUUUCUCUUUUGUGCGAUUCAUUUGGACGAAAGCAUGAGUGUUCGUCCCGUUUGCCUUUUACUCCGUUUCGCGCGAAGUGAAGGGAAGUAGCCCUCGUUCUGUCUCCUAUUUCGCCGCCACCGCCGCGCCCGGAUCCCCCUCUUCCUCUCCGCUUCCACCGAGCCCAGAAUCCCCAGAACCCCAGAAUCCCGCGGGCGGCGAGACGGGUUUAGGGUUUAGGAGGGCGGCCCCCUGGGGCUCCGCCGCGACCUCCUUCGACGAAGGGCUCCGUGCGCGUUGGGGCGAGGGCCAAGUGCCGCGCUCUCCACGGUCGGCCCGCGGAGCCGGAGGGGGGCGACGCGGCCGCGACCACGGCGAGGUCCGCUCCUGGCGGCUGAUUUCAGGGUCUGCACCGCGCUGAAUCCGAGCAGGGUUCUCCGCUAUUCUUGCGAGAAGAUGAUAGGGUUUUCCCCUUUUGCGCCUCUCUGGAUUGUGAUGCAGUAAGUUUUUUCACUUCCUGCUGUUUUGGGUUUUAUUGAUUCAAGCUGAGGGAUCAUGGGAUGAGCAAACUACAGUCCUGCUCAAGAAUGAGGUAUGCCUAUGCCGAUUCAGUCCGAUUCUGCAUUCUGGUUCACUGCUGAUCAUGUUCAUUAUCUGUCAAUUCACUAGUAUGAUGUCAGUUGAGUCAGAUCAGUGGACUGGCAACUUGUGAAGUUGUGACCUGGCCAUUGUCGAUUUGUUAGAAUUGCAUCCCCCGUUCUGUUUGUAAUGACAAUCUCUUAGCAUUGUUCAACCUAUCUAUGUAGAGCAUCUUUGUGGUCCAGCAAAGAGUACCGGCUGGUACUGGUACUGCUCGGUGCCAGUACACAUCUGGCCGUUCAUUCCUGUAUGGGUAGGAUGGGGAGAAGAAAUUCACUCGGCGCUCGCUCGGUCCUUCUCCUUCCACAGCCGCGCUUGCGCCCUCAAUCCAUCGUCCCCACGCGCUUCCUUCCGCCCCCACACGCUUCCCUCCGCAGUAAAAUUGAUUUCUCCUUCUCCGCCGCCGCCCAACCCUAACCCCCCAUAUCAUCAUCCGCGUCGUCCUUCGUCGCUCCUCGGCUCAAGGGUUCAACUCGAACUCACGGCACAGGAGCAUGAACACGGCGACGGCGGCGGCAGAGGAUAACGGCGGCGGCGGCGGCGGCAGAGCAACAUGGCAGCGAAAGGCAAGGAGAGCAAAUACUAGGGUUCGAGCGAGUUGCCACUUGCCAGCCCCGAUCCAUCCCUCCUGAUCCAUCCAGUAGCAACGCGAAGUUACAAUAAUACCCUUCCAACCAAGUUGUCUGGGCGGUACCGCAUCAGGGACAUUCUUGGUACCGGGAGGUACCAAACAAUCCAGCCGUUGGAUCGGGCCAGAUCCAACGGCCAGCAUUCGGUACCGCCCGGUACCAUUGGACGGUAAAAACUCUCAUCUAUGUAAGGCAACUAAACAAUACAGAGUGGAGAGAUUUCAACCCAGAGAGUUAUUUUAUGGUUAUGUUCUCAAACCGGAUCAAGAAUUCCAAUUUUUUAUCACAUAGGCAAGCAUGGUAGAUAUUUGUAAGAAUCCAUACAUUUCCAGAAAUAUUUGAUGUUAGAGCAACUGGGAGAGAGAAGUCAUUAAAAUAUGUUUGUUCCCUUCUAACUGUACUUCUGACCGGACAAUCAGUAAACCUCCCAAAUUUCCUUGAGAUGGUAAGAACACGAACUUGUUCAACUGAGCUGGGUAGAAAUUUUUAGUAUAUGUUGCCUCAAUUGUUUUUCUUUGUUUCUUGAAGGCAGAUGAUGUUAUAAUUAGAAUCACUGAUUUUAUUUUCUGAUUGCAUUCCACUUAUCAGCAGAAUGAAUGCCUCUAACAUUCCAACAUGGAAUAUUGAAAUUUUUGAUUCAUUGUCAAUGCUUGUUGUUCAGAAUUAAAAUUUCUGAUAUCUUUCAAAAGACCAGAAGUGAGCAGAUUUUAGACAGCUAGUGUGUCUUCCACAAUUAUGCAUAUAGGAGUGGACCAGAAGAAAUAACAUUGAUGUUAUAAAGGAUUCUCUGGAUCUUGUACCUGUGGUAACAUAUGCUGGAGAUACUGCAUUUCAGAUUCACUGCUUGGAGCGAUCAACAUAUACCCUUGAAAGUUCUGUACAAAGAAAGAUGCAUUGCAUAGUGAUAUCUCGUGAUCUAGCUUGUAUAAUUAAGUGAACGACAGAUAAACGGUAUACUCUUGAGAGGAGUUUUGUUCAUUCCAUAUUAUCUUUCUUUUGUGCAGUUAUAGUUAUUAUAUACUCUUAUGGAAUUAUUUUGAUUUAUUAUACUUCAUUGCUUCGUCUGUAUAUUCUGUUGUUUUUACCUUACAAUUACAGGCCAAACUUCUUACUAAACUUCCUUUUUUUUACGCAAAAGGUAGAGAGGCUCUACCUUAUUACCAUUGUAUUAAUGGUGGUCAAUGGUUUACAUGGCCAAGUGGCCAAUUACAAAAGGAAAGGAAGAGAGAAAAUACAGAGGUAAAGGGGAACGAAGGAAGAAGAUAGAAGAGAAAAAAGAAAGAAGAAAGAAAGAAGAAAUAAGAAAGAAAAUGAAAGAGGGAAAGAGUAGCAUAUGAAUACAAUUGUCUGCAUAUUCUGGUUUCUUGUUGUCUGCAGGAGGUUGGAAACGCUUGUGUUAGCUCAGUUGAAUACCGCAUCAUUCCUUGCCUUCCAUAGGUUGUGAGCACAGGCAGCGAAGCAUAUCAACCAUCCCAGCUUGAGGUGGCCCUGAGAAGAACCUAGGACUUCAUCAACGAAUUGGAGGAUGUCAGUGCAUUGGAUUGCUAUGGAAUUUAGGCCGAGUUUUGUCCAGAGGGCCUCAGCCAGUUUGCAACGCAACACAAUGUGGUCUGCUGAUUCAAUUGCUGGGCAGAUGUUGCAGUGUGGGUCAGACGACCACUUUUGUGCGUUCUGUUGUUGUUGGAGUUUAACCUGUCUUUGAAGGCUAGCUAGAGGAAGAUUCUGCAAGUAUUUGGGAUGGCUUUGAGCCAUAUGAAUUCAGCCGGCUUCCAUGAUAUGCCAUGGAAUGUGAGGAGUCUGUAAAAUGCUGCGGUUGUUAUUCCGUUGAGGGAUUGAAGGCAUGAUCUUGUAUCUGGUGCAUCUGCAUGUGGUUGAAGAGUUGCCAAAGUGUUCAUGAGGAGGUUGAGUUCUGUCUGUGCCUGGUUUGAUAACACUGGGUGGAGAUUAAUCGCUCAGGUGUUUUGUGUGAAUUGUGAGGCGACUGUACAGUUGAUGUUGGUUGCAAAUGAUGCCAGUGAUGGGUAGGUGAUGAAGAAGCAGCCGUCGUCCGUCCAAUGGUCUUUCCAGAAUUGCACCGAAAGGUCGCUUCCCAGCGAAACUUUGGUUGAUGCUAUUGUUGGUUCCAAUGCUCCACAGAUCAUCUUCCAAACCGGUGUAUCAGUUGGUCUUGCUAGGAUAGGAAUCUCGUUCUGCAGGUGCUGUGCUCUGAGCCAGUGGAAGCAUGGCUCCGGGGAGCCAGAUAGCAGCUUGCUUGCAAGUUUCAUUAGUAGCGACAGGUUGUGAGCUUUGAGAUCUCGUAUGCCCAGUCCUCCCUCUUCUUUUGACAUGGUGACAGUAUCCCAGGCGAAAAGGCAAUGACCUCCUACUAAACUGAGAAAUAAACUAAAAUUUCGGAUGCUGAGCUUAGAGAAGUUUUCAUGAAUAUCACUUCAAAUGAGUAUAGUUACUUCGAAUGAGUAUGUCACGCCUUUGCGGUGAACAUAUCUACUUGUUGCCUCCCAGGAAACAAAAAUCAUGCUGAUUAAUCAGAUGUCAAUUACUUCUUUGCAGUAAGCAGGAAAUGUUGUUUGGCAAAUAACUCUGUUCUUUAGGAUCCUGCUUUUGGUGCACAUGCCAUGGUUCCAGAUAAGAUUGUCAAAGAUGGACAAGCUUCACCUCAUUCACAAACUGCAUCAGUUUGGCUUAGGAAUCACAAAUACCUUGACGUUCAAUGCCAUCCAUGAGGAGUGUCGACAUAUUAUGGAUCAUGCAGUAAUCUAAGAAGUUGAAAUCUGGAAAUGGGUGUGCAUUAUCAUAUUUAAAAAUCUUCUCCUGCUGAACAAUUGCCAGUUGCGGGAUUCCUCUGUGCAGGUGGUAUGUAUUGUUUUGUUUUUUAAGUUAAGAUCGAACUAUAAUAUGUGUGCUUUUCUCAAUGAAAUGGUUUAUUUGGUGC